rnacentral:tRNA from 4 species
GCUGGCGUAGCUCAAUGGCAGAGCAGCUGAUUUGUAAUCAGCAGGUUGCGGGUUCAAGUCCCAUCGCCAGCUCCA